UACGUAGGUGGCAAGCGUUGUCCGGAUUUAUUGGGUUUAAAGGGUGCGUAGGCGGCUGAUUAAGUCAGUGGUGAAAGCCGAUCGCUUAACGAUCGAACUGCCAUUGAUACUGAAUAGCUUGAGUACAGAUGAGGUAGGCGGAAUGUGACAAGUAGCGGUGAAAUGCAUAGAUAUGUCACAGAACACCAAUUGCGAAGGCAGCUUACUAAGGUAUGAUUGACGCUGAGGCACGAAAGCGUGGGGAUCAAACAGG
rnacentral:rRNA from 1 species